UGGUGAAGAAAGGGCCGGGCAAGACCGGUGCCAGCCGCCGCGGUAAUACCAGCGUCCAGAUUGGUGGCAUCUAUUAUGGGGCUUAAAGCGUCCGUAGCUGGGUUGUUAAGUCUCCUGGGAAAUCCCCGGCUCAACCGAUGGGCUUUCAGGGGAUACUGGCAACCUAGGGACCGGGAGAGGUGAGGGGUACUUCAGGGGUAGGAGUGAAAUCCUGUAAUCCUUGAGGGACCACCAGCGGCGAAGGCGUCUCACCAGAACGGUUCUGACAGUAAGGGACGAAAGCUAGGGGCGCAAACCGGAUUAGAUACCCGGGUAGUCCCAGCCGUAAACGAUGCGCGUUAGGUGUGUCGGCCUCCUCGAGUCACCGAGGUGCCGAAGGGAAGCCGUGAAACGUGCCACCUGGGAAGUACGGUCGCAAGGCUGAAACUUAAAGGAAUUGGCGGGGGAGCACCACAACAGGUGGAGCGUGCGGUUUAAUUGGAUUCAACGCCGGGAAGCUCACCGGAUAAGACAGC
rnacentral:rRNA from 1 species